GACGAACGCUGGCGGCGUGCUUAACACAUGCAAGUCGAACGGAAAGGCCCCUUUGGGGGUACUCGAGUGGCGAACGGGUGCGUAACACGUGAGUAACCUGCCCUUGACUUCGGGAUAACUUCAGGAAACUGGGGCUAAUACCGGAUAGGAAUCCUUGCUGCAUGGUGGGGGUUGGAAAGCUUCGGCGGUUUUGGCUGGACUCGCGGCUUAUCAGCUUGUUGGUGGGGUAGUGGCUUACCAAGGCUUUGACGGGUAGCCGGCCUGAGAGGGCGACCGGCCACAUUGGGACUGAGAUACGGCCCAGACACCUACGGGAGGCAGCAGUGGGGAAGAUUGCACAAUGGGCGGAAGCCGGAUGCAGCAACGCCGCGGGCGGGAUGACGGCCUUCGGGUUGAAAACCGCAUUCAGCAGGGGCGAAGCUUGUGGUGACGGUACCUGCAGAAGAAGCACCGGCUAACUACGUG
rnacentral:rRNA from 1 species